rnacentral:rRNA from 1 species
GUACUAAGGUAGCAUAAUAACUAGCCUUUUAAUUAAAGGAUGGAAUGAAAGAACCAACGAGCUAAGAAUCAUCCUUUAUAACAAUAAAAAAUUUAUCAAUAAGGUAAAAAGACCUUAACAUAACAGGAAGACGACAAGACCCUGACGAACUUUAACAAUAUGUUUAGCUGGGGCAGCCAUAAAAUAAAACCUUAAUUUAAUCCUCCAUAAUUAAGAAAAAUUCAAAAUAAAAUAAGUUACCACAGGGAUAACAGCACUAUUCUUUUUAAGAGCACCAAUCCAAAAAAGAGUUUGUGACCUCGAUGUUGAAUUACCUAUAAUAUAUGAGCAACCUCAUAUCACAAUGGUCUGUUCGACCAAAAACAGGUACAUGAU